ensembl:misc_RNA Y_RNA Y RNA
GGCUGGUCUGAAGGUAGUGAAUUGUCUCAAUUGUUCACAGUCAGUUACAGGUUGAACGCCUUGUUCUACUCUUUCCCCCUUCUCACUACUGCACUUGACUAGUCUUUA